rnacentral:misc_RNA from 1 species
GGGUCUGGUUGGGCUUACCAGUGCCUUGACUGUGGAUAUGAGGUGCACCCCAAGUGUAUUAGAGCUGUGGACUUCGGCUCCAUGCUUGAGAAAUGAAUAAACUCGCUAGCUCUAUUGUGCUGAUUCAACAGUGGUGUAUUACUGUGAGUUCAUCGUGCUUUGGACUGUGGAUUUCGCUUUUAAUUAAGUUCAGCAUUAGUUAGCAAAUCGAGUUUCAGGUUGGAUUGUAAUUAGCUUAUCUUAAUAAUUAGCUCUAAUAAAA